CCCCUAACGUCCAAAACUAGAUGUAGCAUCUCCCCCGAGCGUCUCCAUAUGAGGAGUGCCCCAAGUGGUAGCCUGUGUUGCCAGGAAUUUCCAUCGGAGUCCACCUCUAUUCCUUCCUAGGCAUGCAUGAGGUGGGGGAUAAACCCAAUAAGUGGGUCCCAAAUAUCGAUGAGUCAAUGUCUCCCUCGAUCGAGCAACUGCGUUGGCACAGUUUCCUCCCGAGGGACGCAUUGUCUAUGAUUACUCUAUCCCGCUUGAGAGGCGCUCUCCACCCGAACCGUUUUCUUUUCUGUGGUUUUUCUUUUAAGCAGAACUUUGACUAGUUAUAAAUUCUAAAAUAAGACUUCAAUUGAUUUGAUUAUUUUCCUACCUUUCUCAAAUUUCACCUAGUUUAUUUUAGGAUUUAUUUCAAAAGUUUCUAAGACAACUUUUUUUACAUUUUUUAAAAUUUCCUAUUAAUUAGAAUAUUUUUAAAAAUAGGAAAUGGAGAGAGAAGUAAAAACUUUCAAAAGUUUUUGAGUGCACCCUACCUCUCUACACAUGGAAGGCAAGCAUUCUGAACUUGGACAUAUUAUUGUUAAAUUAUUUGUUUGCUUGCACUUAAGAAGUUGGAUUAUGACUGAUGGAAUACCGUUGGAUUAUUUCAAGGGCAUAUUUACCACCAACUAAAUUAUGUCUCAUUUCAUGAUGUUUGCAAGUACAUUCAAAGUACUCACUACCUUGUCCCUGGAUAUUGUCUUGGCCAGAUUGUGUAUUUGGGGAGGAGCAUCCCGAUGAUAGCCCCGGUACCUAGCACCAAGGACAGCAUCCGCGUGAGAUAGGAAUUAUCCAGGUCAGCUUUUCUUAGGGAAAAUGGAGUCACAUAGAUGUUGGAGAUCCCCGAUCCGCUUCCGCCAUCAACCAUUAGAUACUUUUUUAUGUACUCCAUAGGCCAUCUUGGUAUUGUACUUCAAAUUUUGUAAAUUGCUUGGAUAUUUGUAUCAAGGACUGGCAUAGCAGCUACCGGUAUUCCUGGGGCUGGUAGGCACAAGGGUCAUUUUCAUGGUAAAUUAAAACCCCAGAAAAACUAACCCUAACAGAUGAUCAUAUGAUUCUACUAUGUUAGCAUUGUUGAGAGAUUGCACUAGUGAAAGUAUGAAUCCAAGGCCUUAUUAC
rnacentral:lncRNA from 1 species